GAGCUUGGGGUGGGGGGACGGUGUGGGGGGGUGUUGCUGAAUCCUUUCGGCGCCAAAGCAAAGUGGUUUUGCUUGAUGGGCUUUUGGGUUUUGUUUCUUGAGGAUUAAAGACUGCACUGAGGUUUCUGCCAGCCAGGUGGUUGGUCUGUGGGCGUCAGCCAGCUGGGGUCUCGCGCUUGGGUGGGGUCUGUGGUCUUCUGGUGGGCACACUUGCUUUCAAGCGUCAAGUGUCUGGAGGGCAGCCUGUCCGGCCUGCUCUCUGAAGGGGAAACAGGAAGCCGCCUUCGCUGGGGAAGGUGGAUUCCCCGGUGGGCUCCCCGGGCGAGCUGAGGGCGCUGGGGCUAGCCCAGGGGGUCCUUUCAGAACCUGUGUGAGAUGCGGGUGGGAUGCCCUUCGGGGUGCUGAGGGCAGGGCCGGGGGUGUCCAGGAAUGGGGUGCCAGAGGGUGGGCCCAGGGCUGGGAGCUUGGCGGGAGGCCUGCUGGGAAAGGCAGUCCUGCGGCCCCACGUGGCUCCCCAGCCCGGCGCAGGGCCCUGCCGUCCCCAGGGGCUGAUGGAGGCUGUGCCAGGAACGUGGGGUUUGGACUCCGGAGAACCCCGCAGAGGGGGGGACAGGUGCCCAGACCUCGACCCCGAGACGCCCCGCCCCCUCACAGGGCUGCUGGAGGCUCCACUGGGAGGUGGGUGACCGCGUAAGCAUCCUGAGCUCCCCAGGGGCCGGCGGCCAGGGCACUGGGGAGGCCAGCAGGUCCUGCCCCCUGCCCCAUGUGCCUCGACGGGGAACGGGCACCCAGCAGGCGCGGACGCGGCCCCGUCCGAGCCCCAGUUUCCCGUCUGUCUUGGGGUAACAGCAGCAUGUGCCCGCAGGGGGAGGGUAAGCGAGCGACCUGUCUGCCUGUGUACUCCGGGCUCCUCUGCGUCCCCCAGUGGGGCAGCACUGUGCUCCUGACCGGGUGGGCCAGGCAGCUCCUAGUGGCCGCUGAUCGGGGUGAGGGCCCUGCAGGUGUGACUGACGGGGGUGCCCCCGGGCAGGGCGGGUCGGGCCCCCCACCUUCCAGGUGGGGUCUCCCUCCCCACCCACACACCCACUGGCCCUGCCAGGACCAGAUGCCCUGCUGGAUGCAGACAGAGUGUGCAGUCACCGCGGCCCUCGCGGCCGGGGGAGGGCUGUGACUCACCUCCCCAGAUUCAUGUGUGAUCACGCACAGGAACGUGCCGAGACGGGACAAGGGCCCUCCUGGCGGAGCUGAUUGGGACUGGGGCUCUGGGAAGGCUUCCUGGAGGAGGUGACAUUCAGCCAAAAUUAGAGCAGGAAGCUAAUAGGGUGAGGAUGGGCAUCGGAGGCAGGAGGGAGCCAGACUUGUUCCUGGGGGGAGGGAGAGACCACCAGCUGUGGCCUUGCUCUCAGAGAAGGGGCGCCACGGUGGGACAUUAAGCCAGGGGUGACGGUUCUGUGUUGGAAAAAUGCCCCGGCUGUGGGCAGCAGUGUUGUCGGGGGAGGCUGUGCCAGAGGACAACAGUUGAGACCAGGACGGGGAGUCAGGGGGCUACGGGGAACAGGGGCAGAGGCCCUGGGGGACAGGCUGGGGCUGCUGGGCAUGCCCAGAGCUCCGGGACCCCUGCGCCCACGCCAGCCUCAGCACCUCGUCAGCGUCGCCGUGCAUGGGUCUGAGCGCAGAGGCGGCUUGGGGUCUAGCCUCAGAGGAGGGUUGGGGCCAAGUGGUGGUUCAGGACUGGCAGGGGUGGGGGGUGUGGGGAGGGGGCCCUGUGGAGUGGGGGGGCUCGGAGUGGUGGAGAGGCAGACAGCAAUGACCAGAGGUGUGAGGCCCCUGGAAGCCCAGGAGGGAGGCCAGUGGAGAGGCGGGCGGGCCCAGGGCCCCCAGGGAGGUGGCAGGCGAGUCCAGAUGGGGUGGGGGCCAUGCCUGGCCCACAGGCCCCACCCAGGGCAAGCAUGACAGAGCCUCUACUGGACAAGGGGUCCCUGGGAGCGCACCCUGGGCCCUGGGCAGUCAGGGGUGUGGGAGCAGCACCCAGGUGUGCCAAGGCCCCGCAGAGCCGUUCACCUCCCUGGGGUGAGUGCCCCGUCUCUCAGCCUAGCGGGAAAUUCACAGGCCUCCCCGCCAGCCGGGCAGGCCCCAGGCAGCUGCUUCCUGCAGGCUGGAGCUUUCGGGGUCUCUCAGCUGCGCCUCCCUAGGGAACUCCUGGUUUUGCUGAGUGGAGGGCACCCUGGGGCAAGCCUCGGUUCUGUGGCUUCCUGAGGCUGCUGUCCCAGAUGACCUGUCUCAGGCCAGUGGGAAAUGCAGGAACCUCUGGAGGCUGAAUGCAAAACCCAGGUUCUCUUCCUGGGGCUCCGGGGAGGGUCCUCCAGUCUCUCGCAGCUGCUGGGGACUCGGGCUCCCCGGGCCCGUGGCCGCACCAGCAGCCUCGUUGUCGGGGGCCGCCGCUGUGUGGAAGCCAUGUCUGCCUCUCACCACGAGGCCCUGGGAGGCCCCUCCAGCCUCAUCCUCUCUCUCAGAGCCCUUCUGCCGUCACACCUGUCACGCCUUCCCUGCCGCUCCGGGGAGGACCCCGGUCGCCCACCGCAUCCUCUGUGCACUCAGCAGCCCCCGCGGGUGCGGGAGCAGCUUUCGUCCCCGUCCGGCUGGGCUGGGGGUCCGGGGUGAGGGAGGCGCCCUGCCCCACAGGGAGGCUGUGCACACGGCUGGGCCCCAGCAGCACUUUCAGCCUCACUCUCCUGGGAACUGAAGACAGCAGCCGGGAAGCCAGCCCGGAAACCCUGCAGCCUGGCUCCAGGCAGCCACCCCGCCUCGCCCUGCCGGAGGCGUGACACGUGGGCGGAGGCGGCCAGAUCCUGUCCCCAGGCUCCGGCUUCCUCCUGGGCUUCUCCCUUCCAGAGCUGUAUCUGCGGGCCCAGCGUCCCAGACAGGCUUUCAGUUCAGCUCAGUCCAGUCGCUCAGUCGUGUCCGACCCUCUGUGACCCCGUGGACUGCAGCACACCAGGCCCCUGUCCAUCACCAACUCCGGGAGAGGCGUUGCUUUCUUCCAACUCUGAAUAAAAACGUGCCUCCGCUUCUCAGCUGACUUCCGCCUUGCUUUCAGGGAGCUCAGGUUGUCUGCGAAAGUGGUAAUUAUUUUGUUCCAGAGGAAACUCAGGCCUGUGAUUCGAGGCCCGGGCCCCGCCCCUCUGCAUGGCCUCCCAGGUGGGCCCCGGGCAGCACAGGACACGGGCCUGGGUGUGCAGACGCUCCUCUGGGGCGCUGGGGUCCCUGCAGGCCGUGGGAGGGCCUCCAAGGCCUGUGUCCUCAGGGAUAGCAGUGCCCCUCCUGCAGGUGCCUUAGCCUCAGCGGGCGAGGGCCCCCACGGACAGCUCCAAGUGCCCGUCCCUCUUUCCUCCAGGGUCCGAGGUCCGUGGGCGCGUGGGUAGGGGCUGACCCAGGCCCUGAGCUUUGCGCCGCUGUGCCCCGGGACUCGGGUGGGACCCUCCGUGGGUGGCAGGGUCUCAGCUGCCUUCCGGGAGGCCCUUCUGUCCAGUGACCUGAUCUGCUCCUUAGCCACGCACAGCGACAAUGGUCACCUGCAGACGGGGCCUUCAGACGAGGGCCCAGCCUUCCAGCUGACCAGUUGCCUGUGGUAAACAGGGCUGACCCCUUUCAUCCAGGCCGAUGCCCCUUGAUGCAUCGCUGUCUGUGGGCUCCUCAGCCCCUGAGUCCACCUGGGGAGCACAGCCGCCCCUGGCCGCGGGCCUGGCUCUCCACCAGGACACGGGAUUCCGUCUCCGUGGCAUUUCCGGCCUAGGCCCGGGGCCCCCCAUUUCCCGAGGGGCCCUGGGUCCUCUCUGGGUCGUGGUGUCCGGCCCUCCUGCCUGGGUGAGGGCUGCUGGCUGAGGGUUGUGUUGUUCCCAGGUUGUUAAUCACCCUUCACAGUUCAGAGACCUGGAGCUACUUUCUUUCAGGAGCAAAGAGGUCGUGACUUCACUUGGACUCUCCUAAUUCAGAUUUUUUUUCACUUGUUUACCGCUUUAUUUGUAUCUCUGCCCCCUUGUGCUGAAAUUCUUGGUUCUUAGUGACGAUAGCACAGUCGUCUUCUGUGUGAAGGCUGACGUUUACCAAAUGUUAACGUGCAGACUACAUCAUACAUGGAAUCAUUUGGGACAGGGAGGCCACCAGCUCGGCUGUGGCGAUCUGGGGGAACCCCAGGCCUUCGGUGCCUGGGGUCUGCCCUUCAGGGGACACGUUGGAGUCCUGUUCCCAAGUCAUGGGGACAGGGCCCGCUCCGGGGUCGUCAUGACCUCAGACACCGUUAGAGUCACUGAUUCCGUCUUUCUUUCCACCUCUGGAGAUUCCUGUGCGUUCCAGUUGGUGUCUGUAAUUCGGUGCAUGUUACGGAGGGUCCCCGGUCAGUCUGAGCGCGGUCCAGGCUCCUCGGGGCCAACCCCGUCCUGCAGGCCGCCUUCCCGCCGUGCUUGCUGUGUUCAUGACGGAAGCGGACACACAGGGGCACCACCCACUGGCUCUUGGCUCCGAGUGGUAAGGCAGCUGUGCCCAGCCCUUCCUGUGCCCCCUGGCCGCCACCGCCUCAUCAAGGAGGGAAUCCGGAGUGCUCUGGGCACGGCCAUGACCCCGACGGGCCCCAGACCUCGGGGUUCCCUGUCCCGGCAUCCUUGUGGGUCACGGCUUCUUCACACCCCGGUCCUGUUCUUUGUGGUCCUGUUGGGGUCUCCCCUUCGAGGAAAUAGCUCCUACACACUCAGACCCAAACGCUGCCCGGCACGCAGGAACACCCACGGAGGCCUGGGCACUCUGCACAGCCCGCCCCUGCCCAGCCCGGUGCUGGGUUCCUGGCGCCCUGCACGCUGGGCUGCAGCACCCUCGCCUGCAAGUGGGGAGACAGGUCCCCAGGGAGGCUCUUCCCUGUGCAGCAGGCAGCCCUGGCCUUAGGGAGGCAGAGCCGUGCCCGGGCGUAUCCGCCCACUCAGCACCCUCGGCAGUGGGAGGCGCUUCCCAUGGGGAGGGCGGGGCCUGGGGAAAGGCUCUGGGCCAGUUGGCUUCAGCCGCACUGUGCCUCUGGGUCGAGAACCCUGAGCUCGGGGCACCCACAGCUCGUCCCCACAGCAGAUCUGGACAGGGAAACAAACACAGCCUUCCAGGCUGCGCCCCGGGGAGCUGGCGUCCUGGGACCCGCCCCUUCCCUGGUUACCUGGCCAGGGUCUCACUGGACCUGGUGCAGCCUGCGUGUGGCUGAAGGGACCACGGGACCAAGCGGGGGUCUGGCCAGGCAGGUGCUCAGGGUCCACGGCCAAGGCCGUGCUGGUCUCCGCAGGGUAGGGGCAGUGGCUGUGCCUUAGGCCUUCCUGAGUGACGAGGAUGGGGCGGAGCUGUGGCAGAGGCCCUGUGCGUGGACGUGGAAGGCUAUGCACCCGCCGAGCUGCCCUGGGCCACCCUCCUAGGCGUCAUCCAUGAGUCCACAGUCACCCCCCGGGAGCUUCCUCCUGGGGAGCCGGGAAGGUUUCCCAGCGUGAGCACUCUUCAUGGGCAGUUUUCCUGUGGAAAAGGAAGAUUCUGCAACCUUAUAACCCCCAUUCCCCUGCCACACAUACACACAAGCAUACUGCUGCUGCUGAGUCGCUUCAGUCAUGUCCGACCCCAUAGACAGCAGCCCACCAGGCUUCUCCGCCCAUGGGAUUUUCCAGGCAAGAGUACUGGAGUGGGGUGCCAUUGCCUUCUCCACACACAAGCAUAGUUUCUGGCUAAAUCAAGAUUCGGUGCUGAUAUUAAAAAUUGCAGCUUAAUCCACACAGGUAAUUAUGGCGCAUUUAAUUUCUCUUCAGCUCCGUUCUCUGCAGAGUUGCGUUUCCCUCACUGUGGGCCAUUUGUGUGUCAUCCCUGGGCCCCAGCGCUCUGAGAGAAGUGGAGACCCCAGCGCCCCGGAGACGCCGAGCGUUUGUUUCCAUUUACGACCAUCCUGUGAACAAACCUCUGAAACGUGGUGGCGUCAGACACCGCCACUCGGUCACGUCUCAUGAUUCUGCGCGCCCCGGGGGGCAGGCGCCCCGGGGGGCAGGGGCAGCUGCGAGGGCGUGUCCGAGGGGCUCCUGGCCCUGAGGCCUGGGCUGGGGUGGCAGGCCCCAGGCCCCCACACCCCGCGGGGCCCCUCCCUGGGGCAGGCUGGGCUUUCCUGCAGCCGGGCAGUCUCAGGGCUCUCCGAGGCAGCCCACCCUAGGGGUCUGUGCCGGGCCCCGGGCCAGCCUGCCUCUCGUCCUCAUGCAGGAACGAGUCGGGGGCGGGCAGCUGCAGGGCGCGUGGCCCUCCUGUUCCUGUUGGACACCGGGCCUUGCCCUCCUCCUCCUCCCAGGCUGCGCCCCAUCCCGGAGCCUCCCGGGAGGACUGGAGGGCUGGAGGGCGGGGGCGCUGGUGGACACUAUCCCCCGUCUGCUGCACUCGGGAGGCCCCCUCUCUGCAUGCCCCCUGCUUUCCUUGGUGGGGGGUUGACCCUGAGACGCUGGGCCGAGGUGUCCGCUGCCCCUGUGGCCAGGUUCACCUGCUCGACAACCGCCUGGUCGUCAGAUGGGAGACGGGGGUGUGUCAGGAGGCAGGGUGGAAGCCUGGGCUCCCCACCCGCUUGAGAAAGGAUUUCCCUGUCCAAGGUCUGUUCCCCUCAGCCCCUGGGGGUCUCCUGAGCAAGGAGGGUGCCUCUGGUGGGUGGGGCUCCCAUCACACCCCACACUGGGGCCUUCUGGGCCAUGCGCCCAGCCAUCAGCUCCCCGAAAGCCCAUCCCCAAGUGGCUGAAAGGUUCCAGAGUGGCCGGCCUCACUUCAGCCUCUGUGAGCCUUGCCCAGGGCUGGGGCUGCCAGACCAGCCUGUGGUCUGGGUCCCUGAGCCACGGAGGAUCCCAGCCCUUCCCCAG